rnacentral:lncRNA from 1 species
UGCAAAUGAAUAUGAACAUUAGAUGACAAAAAAUUGCAUUAGCAUCUAGGCCUUCGAGGAAACGCUUGAGCAAAGCCUGCUAUGGAGGAGCCAAGGAAGUAAUGAAGUUCGAUGUACACUUGACCAAGCUGCGGAUCUGUAGCAACAAAACUGAACAAAUGGAGUUAGAUCGAGAAAUGUAAGAUCCUACUAGAAACGAAGAAAUCUAGGAACAGAAAAGGGAACCUGAAAUCGCCAAAUCAAAGCAUGAAACCUCCGCAUAAAUCAAUUCCAGGAGGAAAAAAAACAGAAUCAAAUAACAGAUCGAGAAGAGAAAUGGGAGGAAGCAAAGAAUUGCGGAACUUAAGGGUAGAUCUGCCGUGCAAAAUACAAUCAGACAUUAAAUGACUUAGAAACAAUGAAUAAAUCACACCGCAAAGAGCGACCCAAUGGGAUUCAAGGAGAUCAGGAG